GCUGGGCACAGUGGCUCGUGCCUGUAAUUCCUGAGGCUCUGGAGGCUGAGGCAGGAGGAUAGCAAGUUAAAAGCCAGUCUCAGCAAAAGUGAGGCACUAAGCACUCAGUGAGACCCUGUCUCUA
rnacentral:sRNA from 1 species